rnacentral:rRNA from 1 species
AGAGCGUAUGGUGGAUGCCUUGGCACUAAGAGCCGAUGAAAGACGUGAUAAGCUGCGAAAAGCUUCGGGGAGGAGCAAAUAUCCUUUGAUCCGGAGAUUUCUGAAUGGGGAAACCUACUUGAGCAAACCUCAAGUAUCCUUAAGCCAAUACAUAACUUAAGGAAGGGAACCCGGUGAACUGAAACAUCUAAGUAGCCGGAGGAAGAGAAAACAACAUGUGAUUCUGUGAGUAGCGGCGAGCGAAAACGGAAGAGCCCAAACCAGCGUGCGUGCAUGCUGGGGUUCGGACCGCGGAAUUGAUUCAACGAGUUUAGCAGAACGGUUUUGGGAAAGCCGGCCAGAGAGGGUGAAAGCCCCGUAAGCGAAAGACGAGUUGACAUGGCGGGAUCCAGAGUACCACGAGACACGUGGAACCUUGUGGGAAGAUGCGGGGACCACCCCGUAAGGCUAAAUACUACUUAGUGACCGAUAGCGCAUAGUACUGUGAAGGAAAGGUGAAAAGGACCCCGGGAGGGGAGUGAAAAAGAACCUGAAACCAUAUGUUUACAAGCUGUGGAAGAGCUUUAUAUGCUCAACCGCGUACUUUUUGUAGAACGGUCCGGCGAGUUACGCUGGCUGGCGAGGUUAAGGACUAAAGGUCCGGAGCCGAAGGGAAACCAAGUCUGAACAGGGCGCAUAGUCAGUCGGAGUAGACCCGAAACCGGGUGAUCUAUCCAUGUCCAGGUUGAAGUUGCCGUAAAAGGCAAUGGAGGACCGAACCCACAUCCGUUGAAAAGGGUGGGGAUGAGGUGUGGAUAGGGGAGAAAUUCCAAUCGAACCCGGAGAUAGCUGGUUCUCCUCGAAAUAGCUUUAGGGCUAGCCUCAUACGAGUCUUGCGGAGGUAGAGCACUGAAUUCCUAAGGGGGCGUCAAAGCUUACUAAGGGAUAUCAAACUCCGAAUGCCGUGUAGAUGAUGUAUGGGAGUCAGACGAUCCGAGAUAAGUUGGGUGGUCAAAAGGGAAAGAGCCCAGACCAACAGCUAAGGCCCCAAAAUGUGUGUUAAGUGGAAAAGGAUGUGGGAUUUCGAAGACAACUAGGAUGUUGGCUCAGAAGCAGCCACACAUUCAAAGAGUGCGUAAUAGCUCACUAGUCGAGAGGUCCUGCGCCGAAAAUGUCCGGGGCUGAAACACACUGCCGAAGCUUUGGAAUUGAUGAAUUUCAAUUGGUAGAGGAGCAUUCUUAAAGAGACGAAGCAGUACCGGAAGGAGCUGUGGAUUUUUAAGAAGAGAGAAUGCCGGAAUGAGUAGCGAGAGGAAGGUGGGAAUCCUUCCGGCCGAAUAUCUAAGGUUUCCAGAGUAAAGCUGAUCUGCUCUGGGUAAGUCGGGGCCUAAGGCGAGGUCGAAAGACGUAGUCGAUGGAUAACAGGUUGAAAUUCCUGUACUAUCCUGUAACAGAACUGUGGGGACACAGGCAGAGAGCGUGAGCCGGGAAUGGAAAGACCGGUACAAGCGAGGUAGGAGAAGAGUUGGCAAAUCCGCUCUUCAAUCUGAAGACGUGAUGUGGACCGAAAAGAAGUAGGGAAGCACGUGAGCUGACUGUCAAGAAAAGCCGCUAUUGUUUGCAGGAUACCCGUACCGUAAACCGACACAGGUGGAUGAGGAGAGAAUCCUAAGGCCGACGGGAGAAGCAUUGUUAAGGAACUCGGCAAAAUGACUCCGUAACUUCGGGAGAAGGAGUGCCAGUAAGAUGGCCGCAGAGAAUUGGCCCAAGCAACUGUUUAGCAAAAACACAGGUCUAUGCAAAACCGAAAGGUGAGGUAUAUGGGCUGACGCCUGCCCGGUGCUGGAAGGUUAAGGGGAGAGGUUAGCGCAAGCGAAGCUUUGAACUUAAGCCCCAGUAAACGGCGGCCGUAACUAUAACGGUCCUAAGGUAGCGAAAUUCCUUGUCGGGUAAGUUCCGACCCGCACGAAAGGCGUAAUGAUUUGGGCACUGUCUCAACAAUGCACCCGGUGAAAUUGAAAUACCAGUGAAGAUGCUGGUUACCUGCGCCAGGACGGAAAGACCCCAUGGAGCUUUACUCCAGCUUGAUACUGGGAUUCGGUAUUGCAUGUACAGGAUAGGUGGGAGGCUAGGAAAUGGUAACGCCAGUUGCCAUGGAGCCGCUGUUGGGAUACCACCCUUGCAGUAUUGGGUUUCUAACCAGCCGCCGUGACCCGGCGGUGGGACAAUGCCAGACGGGGAGUUUGACUGGGGCGGUCGCCUCCGAAAGGGUAUCGGAGGCGCUCAAAGGUUCCCUCAGAAUGGUUGGAAACCAUUCGAAGAGUGCAAAGGCAGAAGGGAGCUUGACUGCGACACCGACGG